rnacentral:rRNA from 1 species
UACGUAGGGUGCAAGCGUUGUUCGGAAUUACUGGGCGUAAAGGGCGCGUAGGCGGUCUUGCAAGUCCUGUGUGAAAUCCCUCGGCUCAACUGAGGAACUGCACAGGAAACUGCUUGGCUUGAGUUCGGGAGAGGGAAGCGGAAUUCCGGGUGUAGCGGUGAAAUGCGUAGAUAUCCGGAGGAACACCGGUGGCGAAGGCGGCUUCCUGGACCGACACUGACGCUGAGGCGCGAAAGCUAGGGGAGCAAACGGG